rnacentral:rRNA from 1 species
AGAGUUUGAUCCUGGCUCAGAUUGAACGCUGGCGGCAGGCCUAACACAUGCAAGUCGAGCGGUAACAGGGGAAGCUUGCUUCUCGCUGACGAGCGGCGGACGGGUGAGUAAUGCCUGGGAAAUUGCCCAGUCGAGGGGGAUAACAGUUGGAAACGACUGCUAAUACCGCAUACGCCCUACGGGGGAAAGCAGGGGACCUUCGGGCCUUGCGCGAUUGGAUAUGCCCAGGUGGGAUUAGCUAGUUGGUGAGGUAAUGGCUCACCAAGGCGACGAUCCCUAGCUGGUCUGAGAGGAUGAUCAGCCACACUGGGACUGAGACACGGCCCAGACUCCUACGGGAGGCAGCAGUGGGGAAUAUUGCACAAUGGGCGCAAGCCUGAUGCAGCCAUGCCGCGUGUAUGAAGAAGGCCUUAGGGUUGUAAAGUACUUUCAGCGAGGAGGAAAGGUUGAUGCCUAAUACGUAUCAACUGUGACGUUACUCGCAGAAGAAGCACCGGCUAACUCCGUGCCAGCCGCCGCGGUAAUAC